UACGGGGGGGGUAAGCGUUGUUCGGAAUUACUGGGCGUAAAGCGCGUGUAGGCGGCAAUGCAAGUCGGGCGUGAAAUCCCACGGCUCAACCGUGGAAGUGCACUCGAAACUGCAUAGCUAGAGUCCUGGAGAGGAAGGUGGAAUGCUUGGUGUAGAGGUGAAAUUCGUAGAUAUCAAGCGGAACACCGGUGGCGAAGGCGGCCUUCUGGACAGUGACUGACGCUGAGACGCGAAAGCGUGGGGAGCAAACAGG
rnacentral:rRNA from 1 species